GACGAACGCUGGCGGCGCGCCUAACACAUGCAAGUCGAGCGAAGCGGCGGCCGGGUAAGUAACACGUGAUAAACCUGCCUUUCACAAGGGGAUAGCCUCGGGAAACAGGGUUUAAUAUCCUAUGGGGAAAGAUGGUCUAGCGCCUGAUUAGUUAGUUGGUGGGGUAACGGCCCACCAAGGCCAUGAUCAGUAAACUGCCUGUGAGGGGGAACUGUCACAUUGGAACUGAGACACGGUCAAAAAUCGUACGGGAGGCAGCAGUGGGGAAUAUGUCACAAUGGAGGAAACUCUGAGGCCGCGACGGCGCGAGAGCGAGGAAGGCUUUCGAGUCAUAAAGCUCUGUCCUAUGGGAAUCGGGAACAUGGGAGGAAGCCCCGGCUAACUACGGGCCAGCAGCCGGGGGAAUGC
rnacentral:rRNA from 1 species